GGAGUCGGCCGGACAGUCGCGCGACGCGCAAGCGUUUCGAGGAAAGUCCGGGCUCCACAGGGCAGGGUGCCAGGUAACACCUGGGCGGCGUGAGCCGACGACCAGUGCAACAGAGAAUAGACCGCCGAUGGCCCGCAAGGGAUCAGGUAAGGGUGAAACGGUGCGGUAAGAGCGCACCGCGCGCGGGGUCAACGUCGCGUGGCACGGUAAACUCCACCCGGAGCAAGACCGAAUAGGGGAGCAUGGCGCGGCCCGCGUCGCUCCCGGGUAGGUUGCUUGAGCUCAUCGGCGACGGUGAGCCUAGAGGAAUGACUGUUCAAGACAAAACCCGGCUUACAGGCCGACUCCCUUA
rnacentral:RNase_P_RNA from 1 species